GACGAACGCUGGCGGCGUGCUUAAUACAUGCAAGUCGAACGGAAAGGCCCUGCUUUUGUGGGGUGCUCGAGUGGCGAACGGGUGAGUAACACGUGAGUAACCUGCCCUUGACUUUGGGAUAACUUCAGGAAACUGGGGCGAAUACCGGAUAGGAGCUCCUGCUGCAUGGUGGGGGUUGGAAAGAUUCGGCGGUUGGGGAUGGACUCGCGGCUUAUCAGCUUGUUGGUGGGGUAGUGGCUUACCAAGGCUUUGACGGGUAGCCGGCCUGAGAGGGUGACCGGCCACAUUGGGAUUGAGAUACGGCCCAGACUGCUACGGGAGGCAGCAGUGGGGAAUAUUGCACAAUGGGCUGAAGCCUGAUGCAGCAACGCCGCGUGCGGGAUGACGGCCUUCGGGUUGUAAACCGAUUUCGCAUGUGACGAAGCGUGAGUGACGGUAAUGGGUAAAGAAGCACCGGCUAACUACGUG
rnacentral:rRNA from 1 species